AGAAUCUGACAGAUAUCAAAACACUAGAAUACACCAAAGAAACCUAACGACCUUACUAGUUGAAUCUUCUUUUAAUUACUGUGUCAUGGAAAGUGAGUCCUGAAGUUGGGGAAAUUCCAGCAAUCCUGGCAUCACCACAGGAAAUACCACAGGACCCCAAAAAA